rnacentral:rRNA from 1 species
GGCGAACGGGUGAGUAACACGUGAGAAACCUGCCCUAGAGACCGGGACAACCGUUGGAAACGGCGGCUAAUACCGGAUGCCUUCACAUGGUCGCAUGGCCGAGUGAAGAAAUGCUCAGGUGCUCUAGGAGGGUCUCGCGGCCUAUCAGCUAGUUGGUGAGGUACUGGCUCACCAAGGCAUCGACGGGUAGCUGGUCUGAGAGGACGAUCAGCCACACUGGGACUGAGACACGGCCCAGACUCCUACGGGAGGCAGCAGUAGGGAAUCUUGCGCAAUGGGGGCAACCCUGACGCAGCAACGCCGCGUGUGGGAUGACGGCUUUCGGGUUGUAAACCACUUUCAGUGAUGACGAAAAUGACGGUAAUCACAGAAGAAGGUCCGGCCAACUACGUGCCAGCAGCCGCGGUAACACGUAGGGACCGAGCGUUGUCCGGAUUUAUUGGGCGUAAAGAGCUC